GAGCUGUGAUGAAAUUGUGGCUUAAGCGAUGGUUGGGUCCUUCGCAAUCUUCUGGUAUCCAGAUGACAUCGCCGCACCUGAGCUC
rfam:Brassica napus, WGS project CCCW01000000 data, contig: 21838